rnacentral:rRNA from 1 species
CAGUAGCCACGGUAAUACGUAGGUGGCAAGCGUUGUCCGGAAUUAUUGGGCGUAAAGGGCUCGCAGGCGGUUUCUUAAGUCUGAUGUGAAAGCCCCCGGCUCAACCGGGGAGGGUCAUUGGAAACUGGGAAACUUGAGUGUAGAAGAGGAGAGUGGAAUUCCACGUGUAGCGGUGAAAUGCGUAGAGAUGUGGAGGAACACCAGUGGCGAAGGCGACUCUCUGGUCUGUAACUGACGCUGAGGAGCGAAAGCGUGGGGAGCGAACAGGAUUAGAUACCCCAGUAGUCCCUGUCUCUUAUAC